GACGAACGCUGGCGGCGUGCUUAACACAUGCAAGUCGAACGGAAAGGCCCUGCUUUUGUGGGGUGCUCGAGUGGCGAACGGGUGAGUAACACGUGAGUAACCUGCCCUUGACUUUGGGAUAACUUCAGGAAACUGGGGCUAAUACCGGAUAGGAGCUCCUGCUGCAUGGUGGGGGUUGGAAAGUUUCGGCGGUUGGGGAUGGACUCGCGGCUUAUCAGCUGGUUGGUGGGGUAGUGGCUUACCAAGGCUUUGACGGGUAGCCGGCCUGAGAGGGUGACCGGCCACAUGGGGACUGAGAUACGGCCCAGACUCCUACGGGAGGCAGCAGUGGGAAAUAUUGCACAAUGGGCGGAAGCCUGAUGCAGCAACGCCGCGUGCGGGAUGACGGCCUUCGGGUUGUAAACCGCUUUCGCCUGUGACGAAGCGUGAGUGACGGUAAUGGGUAAAGAAGCACCGGCUAACUACGUG
rnacentral:rRNA from 1 species